AGUGAAAUUGCUAGGUCAUAUGAUAAUUGAAUGUUUAGUUUUUAAGAAACUGCCAAACUGUUUUCCAGAGUGGCUGUACCAUUUUACAUUCCUACCAGCAAU
rnacentral:pre_miRNA from 1 species